rnacentral:rRNA from 1 species
UCAAGUGACUAAGUGCAUGUGGCGGAUGCCUUGGCGAUCACAGGCGAAGAAAGACGCGGCAGCCUGCGAAAAGCUGCGGGGAGCUGGCAAACGAGCUUUGAUCCGCAGAUAUCUGAAUGGGGGAACCCACACCGCAAGGUGUAUCCGUAGCUGAAUACAUAGGUUACGGAGGCGAACGAGGAGAACUGAAACAUCUAAGUAUCCUCAGGAAAAGAAAUCAACCGAGAUUCCGGCAGUAGCGGCGAGCGAACCCGGAGGAGCCUAGCUUUUGAUAGUACGAACUUUAGCCGAAAGGUCCUGGAAAGGCCUGCUAUAGUGGGUGAUAGCCCCGUAGGCGAAAGAGUUGGUACGGUACUAAGGAAGCGAGAAGUAGAGCGGGACACGUGGAAUCCUGUUCGAAGACGGGGGGACCAUCCUCCAAGGCUAAAUACUCGUGAUCGACCGAUAGUGAACCAGUACCGUGAGGGAAAGGCGAAAAGAACCCCGGGAGGGGAGUGAAAUAGAACCUGAAACCGCAUGCAUACAAACAGUAGGAGCCUCAUCAGAGGUGACUGCGUACCUUUUGCAUAAUGGGUCAGCGACUUACAUUCUGUGGCGAGCUUAACCGAAUAGGGGAGGCGCAGCGAAAGCGAGUUCGAAAUGAGCGUCCAGUCGCAGGGUGUAGACCCGAAACCAGAUGAGCUAUCCAUGGCCAGGUUGAAGGUGUGGUAACACACACUGGAGGACCGAACCGACUAGUGUUGCAAAAUUAGCGGAUGAGCUGUGGAUAGGGGUGAAAGGCCAAACAAAUCUGGAGAUAGCUGGUUCUCCCCGAAAACUAUUGAGGUAGUGCCUCGUGUGUCGCUCCAGGGGGUAGAGCACUGUUUUGGCUAGGGGGACAUGGAGUCUUACCAAACCAAGGCAAACUCCGAAUACCUGGAAGCGUGAGCACGGGAGACAGAGCACCGGGUGCUAACGUCCGGACUCAAAAGGGAAACAACCCAGACCGCCGGCUAAGGUCCCAAAUAACAGCUAAGUGGAAAACGAAGUGGAAAGGCCGUGACAACCAGGAAGUUGGCUUAGAAGCAGCCAUCCUUCAAAGAAAGCGUAAUAGCUCACUGGUCGAGUCCUUCUGCGCGGAAGAUGUAACGGGGCUAAGCUGUUAACCGAAGCCGCGGAUGCACUGGUUAUCCAGUGCGUGGUAGGGGAGCGUUCUGUAAGUCUGCGAAGGCGGUUCGAGAGGACUGCUGGAGAUAUCAGAAGUGCGAAUGCUGACAUGAGUAACGUUAAAGCAGGUGAAAAGCCUGCUCGCCGUAAGCCCAAGGAUUCCUGCUCUACGUUCAUCGGAGCAGGGUGAGUCGGCUCCUAAGGUCAGGCCGAAAGGCGUAGCCGAUGGGAAUCAGGUUAAUAUUCCUGAACCUGCGUCAGAUGCGAUGGGGGGACGGAGCAUGGAAGAUCAUCCGGGUGUUGGAAGUCCCGGUUGUUUAGCGUAGGAGGUCUGCAGGCAAAUCCGCAGACGCAUCUCCAAGGCAAAGACACGUGCCGCCACGGCGGCGAAGUGAUCGGAAGUGCUUCCAAGAAAAGCCUCUAAGCCCCAGUCUGACGCGGACCGUACCGCAAACCGACACUGGUGGGCGAGCUGAAUAUGCUCAGGCGCUUGAGAGAACUCGGGAGAAGGAACUCGGCAAAUUGACACCGUAACUUCGGAAGAAGGUGUGCCGUAGUACCGUGAGAGGAGAGACACCUUGAGCGGGAAACGGUCUCAGAGAAUAGGUGGCUGCGACUGUUUAUUAAAAACACAGCACUCUGCAAAGUCGAAAGACGACGUAUAGGGUGUGAUGCCUGCCCGGUGCUGGAAGAUUAAUUGAUGGGGUGAGAGCCCUUGAUCGAAGUCCCAGUAAACGGCGGCCGUAACUAUAACGGUCCUAAGGUAGCGAAAUUCCUUGUC